AGUGAACGCUGGCGGCAGGCCUAACACAUGCAAGUCCAGCGGAUGAAGAGUGCUUGCUCCUGGAUUCAGCUGCGGACGGGUGAGUAAUUCCUAGGAAUCUGCCUGGUAGUUGGGGAUAACGUCCGGAAACGGGCGCUAAUACCGCAUACGUCCUUAGGGAGAAAGUGGGGGAUCUUCGGACCUCACGCUCUCAGAUGAGCCUAGGACGGAUUAGCUAGUUGGUGGGGUAAAGGCCUACCAAGGCGACGAUCCGUAACUGGUCUGAGAGGAUGAUCAGUCACACUGGAACUGAGACACGGUCCAGACUCCUACGGGAGGCAGCAGUGGGGAAUAUUGGACAAUGGGCGAAAGCCUGAUCCAGCCAUGCCGCGUGUGUGAAGAAGGUCUUCGGAUUGUAAAGCACUUUAAGUUGGGAGGAAGGGCAGUAGGUUAAUACCUUGCUGUUUUGACGGUACCAACAGAAUAAGCACCGGCUAACUUCGUG
rnacentral:rRNA from 1 species